AUACGUAGGUGACAAGCGUUAUCCGGAUUUACUGGGCGUAAAGGGCGUGUAGGCGGUCUUGCAAGUCAGAAGUGAAAUUCCUGAGCUCAACUCGGGCGCUGCUUCUGAAACUGCAGGACUUGAGUGCUGGAGGGGAUAGCGGAAUUCCUAGUGGAGCGGUAAAAUGCGCAGAUAUUAGGAAGAACACCGGUGGCGAAGGCGGCUAGCUGGACAGUAACUGACGCUGAGGCGCGAAAGCGUGGGGAGCAAACAGGAUUAGAUGCCCUGGUAGUCUACGCCGUAAACGAUGAAUACUAGGUGUAGGGGGUAUCGACUCCCUCUGUGCCGCAGUUAACACAAUAAGUAUUCCGCCUGGGGAGUACGGCCGCAAGGUUGAAACUCAAAUGAAUUGACGGG
rnacentral:rRNA from 1 species